ACCUAAGGGGGGCAGCAGUGAGGAAUAUUGGUCAAUGGGAGAGAUCCUGAACCAGCCAAGCCGCGUGAGGGAAGACGGCCCUAUGGGUUGUAAACCUCUUUUGUCGGAGAACAAAACCCGGGACGUGUCCCGGACUGCGUGUAUCCGAAGAAAAAGCAUAGGCUAACUCCGUGCCAGCAGCCGCGGUAAUACGGAGGAUGCGAGCGUUAUCCGGAUUUAUUGGGUGUAAAGGGCGUGUAGGCGGGAAAGCAAGUCAGAUGUGAAAACUCAGGGCUCAACCCUGAGCCUGCAUUUGAAACUGUUUU
rnacentral:rRNA from 1 species